rnacentral:rRNA from 1 species
UACGUAGGGGGCAAGCGUUGUCCGGAUUUAUUGGGCGUAAAGAGCGUGUAGGCGGCCAGGUAGGUCCGUUGUGAAAACUGGAGGCUCAACCUCCAGCUGUCGACGGAAACCGUGUGGCUAGAGUCCGGAAGAGGAGAGUGGAAUUCCUGGUGUAGCGGUGAAAUGCGCAGAUAUCAGGAAGAACACCAAUGGCGAAGGCAGCUCGCUGGGACGUGACUGACGCUGAGACGCGAAAGCGUGGGGAGCAAACAGG